AAACUUGAAUGUCGGUUGGGUAUCCUAUACGGGCUUUCCAGCAAGAUGAUAAUCAAGUUUAUUUAUAGGAGAUAUGUUAGUGGCCCGUAUCGCAGGCAUUAACGUUCCUGAU
rfam:Pseudoalteromonas piscicida strain S2040 contig0040, whole genome shotgun sequence.